UUUCGGAAUAUUUCAUCCAUAUAGUGUUAGUAACAGGGCCUUAUGAACUAUGUUAGUGAUUAAAUUACAUUAAAUUAUAUCAAAUCA